rnacentral:rRNA from 1 species
AUGUAAGAUUUUAAAGGUCGAACAGACUUAUAAAUCAAGCUACUACACCUAACUAUUAUCUUAAUCCAACAUCGAGGUCGCAAGCCUUCCUGUAAAUUUGAACUCUGGAGGAAGAUUACGCUGUUAUCCCUAAGGUAACUUGGUCUAAUAAUCAAUAAUAAUGGAUCUAAAAACCAUAAAUAAAUGUAUAAUAAAUAAUAAAAGUUAAUUAUAUAUCUCUUGUCACCCCAACAAAAAAGCCCAAAUAAUAACCCAAAAAAUGGAAUAAAAAUAGUUAAUACAAUAAGCCUUAAAGCUCUAUAGGGUCUUCUCGUCCUACAAAAAAAUUUGAGCCUUUUAACUCAAAGGUUAAAUUCAAUAAUAUUAAAUUGAGACAGAUAGUACUUCGUCAAACCCUUCAUUCCAGCCUUCUAUUAAAAGACUAAUGAUUAUGCUACCUUUGCACGGUCAAGAUACCGCGGCCGUUAAAAUAAAUUCACUGGGCAGGUAAGACCUCAAAUAAAACACAAGAGGACAUGUUUUUGAUAAACAGGCGAGCAACUAUAUUUGCCGAGUUCCUUAACUAAAGAUCACAAUAUAAAUAGAUAAAACAAUAAAAUAUACUAAUUUAAUCAUUAUUAAUAAUGAUUAUUCAUUUAACAAAAAACUUUAGUAUAAAAACUAAAAAUAAUAAAAUCAACAAAAUUCAGGACAAACUACAACGUAAUUAAAAGAUGGAUGAUAUUAACCCUACUACCCCUAACAAAAAUUAAAUUAUAGAAAAAAGUAGAGAUUAGCCCCUACAAUUUAAGAACUACCAAAUAAAUAAUUUAAUAAUAAAAUAAAUAAAUAAAUAGCGACAAAUUAAAUUUGAAUCCUAAAGAACUAGAUACCCUUAUAAACGAAUAGAAUAUCUCCACAGAUAGAAUAUUUUUGAUAUUAUUGCNNNNNNNNNNNNNNNNNNNNNUAGCUCUUCUGAAAUCGAGAAAUAAAAAUAAAUUAAACAAAAUAAAUCAACCCUGAUACCAAAGGUACUACUAACAAAAUAUACUUUUACAAAAAUAAGUAUUUCAAAAUAUUUCACCAAUUACCUCACGGUACUAAUUAACUAUUACUAAAUAAUUUUUUUCAAAACAUUACUAAAAAUAAAGUUACUUCUCCAAAAACCCAAAAAUAAAAAAAGUAAGAUUAUUUUUAUCAAAAUA